UUGAUCCUGGCUCAGAAUCAACGCUGGCGGCGUGCCUAACACAUGCAAGUCGUACGCGAAAGUCCCGCAAGGGAUGAGUAGAGUGGCAAACGGGUGAGUUACACGUGGGUGACCUGCCUUCGAGUGGGGGAUAACGUCCCGAAAGGGACUCUAAUACCGCAUGACAUCCUGCCUUUAGAAAGGUGGAGAUUAAAGCCGGUGAUCGCAAGACCUGGCGCUUGAAGAGGGGCCCGCGCCUGAUUAGCUAGUUGGUAGGGUAAUGGCCUACCAAGGCUACGAUCAGUAGCCGGCCUGAGAGGUCGGACGGCCACACUGGGACUGAGACACGGCCCAGACUCCUACGGGAGGCUGCAGUGGGGAAUUGUUCGCAAUGGGCGCAAGCCUGACGACGCAACGCCGUGUGGAGGAUGAAGAUUUUCGGAUCGUAAACUCCUGUCGAGCGGGAAGAAUACCUAUCUGGCGAAUAUCCGGGUAGGCUGACGGUACCGCUAAAGGAAGCUCCGGCUAACUCCGUGCCAGCAGCCGCGGUAAUAAGGU
rnacentral:rRNA from 1 species